AUUGAACGCUGGCGGCAUGCCUUACACAUGCAAGUCGAACGGCAGCACGGGGCAACCUGGUGGCGAGUGGCGAACGGGUGAGUAAUGCAUCGGAACGUACCUUUCAGUGGGGGAUAACGUAGCGAAAGUUACGCUAAUACCGCAUAUUCUGUGAGCAGGAAAGCAGGGGAUCGCAAGACCUUGCGCUGAUUGAGCGGCCGAUGUCAGAUUAGCUAGUUGGUGAGGUAAAGGCUCACCAAGGCGACGAUCUGUAGCGGGUCUGAGAGGAUGAUCCGCCACACUGGAACUGAGACACGGUCCAGACUCCUACGGGAGGCAGCAGUGGGGAAUUUUGGACAAUGGGGGCAACCCUGAUCCAGCCACGCCGCGUGAGUGAAAAAGGCCUUCGGGUUGUAAAGCUCUUUCGGCCGGGAAGAAAUCGCACGGGCUAAUACCCUGUGUGGAUGACGGUACCGGAAUAAGAAGCACCGGCUAACUACGUGCCAGCCGCCGCAGUAAAAC
rnacentral:rRNA from 1 species